rnacentral:lncRNA from 1 species
UUGCACAUGUUCCGGGAAGCAGCCCUCACAAAUGUAGCCAAUGUAGGACAAGCAGUAAUCUGGGAAAUUGUAACAUAAGAUCACAUAAUGGCAGUGGCUUUUGAAUGAUAAGGAAACUGAUAAGGACUAUUAAGAAAGGAACACAGGAGACUAAAAAUCUGAAAGAUUUCCUCUAACACUGCCCAAAAAGAGUGUGAUCUGAUUUUAGAUGAAUUGUACUGGUUCUUUGGACUAAAAUAUCCCUCCAGCAGAGAAAGGCAAUUCAUCAAGCAACCAGAGCUAGAAAGUAAUUCUCUGAAAGAACAUCCGGCUGCCCUGGCUCGUGGUCUUUGCUUACCCAGAAGAGAAUCUGCAAUUUGGCCAUCUGAGUGCUGUUGACCAGCAUGGGUUCUUUUAGUGAUGAUCCUGCUGGGAGAUAAUAUGGGAUAUUGGUUUAUCAAUCACUCUCUGUUUUGGUGAUGCGGAUGGAAUGCUAAUAGAAACAUGACUUUCUGGAAAAGGAAAGCCCUAGCAGACUAACACAGCUGGCAAGUCAGAAGCCUCAGACUCCAAGACCCUGACUGCAGUGCUAUCACACCUCUGUCAGCAGAGUUGGCUAAUGAAUCUUGGAAAAAUCAGAGGUCUUCUCACAAAAUAAGGAUCCUGUGAAGGAGAGUAAUCAAGGAAAAGUUGCAAUCUCUUCAGACCUCUAUCAUCAAAAAGGAGGCCCAGUGCAUUAUUGCACCGAGAAGUUCUCUGUAGGGGUGAUCAUAAGGGACCUUCAAAUGUUUGAGGAAACAUCAUCAGUAGAUAAUGUAGCCCUCAGACAACUGCACUGUUUCUCUGCAGUAAAGCUACCCUUGGUCACUCGGG